GAUGAUGAUUUAAACUAUACGCCCGAGUUAACUCUAAUAGCUUACUUGCCGCCAAAGUGAAAUUCGAAGGCGAUGUUCUCAGGUCAACGAAGAUGGCGAACCAAGGGAAUGUAGCAGAAGCAGCUGCUAAUAAACCUCUUCAGUGUCUGUACUGUGACGUAAAGUUUACAUCCCUCAUAGACGUUUUGAGGCAUAAUAGUAGUGCUCAGCACAAUGCAAGGAUGCAAGAAGUUAACGGGUGCGGAACACCGGCGACUCCCAUAGAGCAAAAAAAGGGUACCAUAUCGGAAGCAGAUCGUAUGUGCAUAAGUUUGGCUGAAAGUGAAUUUAAGUGUAACUUCUUCACGUGUCCCGUAGAUAAAAACUUUCAUGAGUUCCUCGUUUCACAGAACAUCUUCCAACCAUCUCAGCCUAAAAAUGUACCUGCUUCUUCUGAGAAGGACUAAUUUUAAUUGUCUAUCGCCUCGAGAAGACCACAUCCAUGGUAGCAAGCAAUCAUAAUUAAUAGUUAAUAAUAACUCGUGUAGUUACAGAAUGGUCGCAGCUCACCGAUGGCAGGUUAAUAUGGCUUUAGAAAAUUCGUCUAUAGUGAAGACAAACUGUGAACCGCAGUGGAGAAUAAUUAUGUAUGAUAUAUGUCUAUGAUUGGCACCCAUCGCGAGCUGUGCACUUGUGUAAGCGUGCGAUGUCAGAAACAUAGUUUAUUGCCGUGAUUUUUAAGGUUUCUUGGUGUACAAUGAUUUAAAUCUUACACAACAUUGGUAAAAUGUAACUUACCUACCGAAACCUAACAUGAAAGCUUCGCUCCAAGUUUACUGACUCGAUUUGUUUGUUAUAAUCAGCGUUUUAGAUACACAAAUGGUAAUAAUGACGGUGUGAUAACGAUAGGUGUCAAGUAAGCCAUGUAUUUAUUUAUGGUCAAGCCAAGAACUUUUAUGUGUGUAAUGAUGUCUGGGAGAUGCAUAUUCACGAGUGGGAUAAAUAUCUCAACAAAUAUUUGCCUAACAAUACUGCCAAAGAACUGUUCUCAUAAAGUUUCAACUAUUCGCUUUUUAAUUAGCUUUGCCAACUCGAGUGCAGGCGUAUUAUUAAAGUGGUAUUGUUUGCGUUACACAAUAUGUUGAAUCAAAGCAAGUGUAAGUCUAUAUUCACCCCUAUUUAGUGGGAUGCCUACCAGUUCUGGGUAACCUGCUAAUAGGUCUAACUGACCAGCAGAAUGUACGGAAGCUACAUAUAGUUAGAGAUUUCGGCUUGGGUUGCCUAUGCUUUCCAGACUAAUUUCGUUCCAGUUGCCAGAUAAUAUAUGCUAUUAUUCAUGGUCAAUGACCCACGACUGUCAAUGUGCAUGUGCUGACAUAAUUGUUCUGCCUGCCUGAAUAAAAUUACGAAAACCUUUA